UUAGAGUUUGAUCAUGGCUCAGGAUGAACGCUAGCUACAGGCUUAACACAUGCAAGUCGAGGGGAAACGGCAUUGAGUGCUUGCACUCUUUGGACGUCGACCGGCGCACGGGUGAGUAACGCGUAUCCAACCUUCCCAUUACUGUGGGAUAACCUGCCGAAAGGCAGACUAAUACCGCAUAGUCUUCGAUGACGGCAUCAGAUUUGAAGUAAAGAUUUAUCGGUAAUGGAUGGGGAUGCGUCUGAUUAGCUUGUUGGCGGGGUAACGGCCCACCAAGGCAACGAUCAGUAGGGGUUCUGAGAGGAAGGUCCCCCACAUUGGAACUGAGACACGGUCCAAACUCCUACGGGAGGCAGCAGUGAGGAAUAUUGGUCAAUGGACGGAAGUCUGAACCAGCCAAGUAGCGUGCAGGAUGACGGCCCUAUGGGUUGUAAACUGCUUUUGUAUGGGGAUAAAGUUAGGGACGUGUCCCUAUUUGCAGGUACCAUACGAAUAAGGACCGGCUAAUUCCGUGCCAGCAGCCGCGGUAAUACGGAAGGUCCAGGCGUUAUCCGGAUUUAUUGGGUUUAAAGGGAGCGUAGGCUGGAGAUUAAGUGUGUUGUGAAAUGUAGACGCUCAACGUCUGAAUUGCAGCGCAUACUGGUUUCCUUGAGUACGCACAACGUUGGCGGAAUUCGUCGUGUAGCGGUGAAAUGCUUAGAUAUGACGAAGAACUCCGAUUGCGAAGGCAGCUGACGGGAGCGCAACUGACGCUUAAGCUCGAAGGUGCGGGUAUCAAACAGGAUUAGAUACCCGGGUAGUCCACGCCGUAAACGAUGGAUACUAGCUGUUGGAGGUAUCGACCCCUUCAGUAGCGAAGCUAACGCGUUAAGUAUCCCGCCUGUGGAGUACGGCCGCAAGGCUAAAACAUAAAGGAAUUGACGGGGACCCGCACAAGCGGUGGAUUAUGUUCUUUAAUUCGAUGAUAACCGAAGAACCUUACCAGGGCUUGACAUCCAGGGAAGGUCUGCGAAAGUAGACUGUGCCUUUUGGAACCCUGUGACAGGUGAUGCAUGGCCGUCGUCAGCUCGUGUCGUGAGAUGUUAGGUUAAGUCCUUCAACGAGCGCAACCCUUGUGAAUAGUUGUAUUUUUCUAUUCAGACUGCCCCGGUAACGGGGAGGAAGGAGGGGAUGAUGUCAGGUCAGUAUUUCCCUUACGUCCUGGGCUAGAAACGUAAUACAAUGGCUAGUACAAUGCGCAGCGAAGCCGCGAGGUGAAGCAAAUCGCAUCAAAGCUAGUCCCAGUUCGGAUCGUAGGCUGAAACUCGCCUGCAUGAAGUCGGAAUCGCUAGUAAUCGCAAAUCAGCAAGUUGCGGUGAAUACGUUCCCGGGUCUUGUACACACCGCCCGUC
rnacentral:rRNA from 1 species